GAUGCAUGACAAAACCAUACAAAAUUGUGUGUUGCUGUUGGUAGUUGAGGCAUCUGCCAAUCUUAUGUCAUGCUGUUUUUCUUCUCAGUGGCACCCCCCCUCAAAGAAUUCACUGUUUCUCUGAGUUAGUUUUAAUUGACACUCUUCAGUUUAUCACACACCAUCUGUGGAAGUAACAGUUUGUGCUGAAAUGGAAACAAUAAAAAGGGAUUUUGGUGGGCAUCAAAAUGAUAAGCAGGCAUAACAGAGAAGAAUGGAAAGAAAUAAGGAAGCCACCAUGAGCAACCUGGUGAAAGAAAAUGGACACAUCAGCAGCCUUGAAGAGGAGAGAUAGAGAAAUGUGGCUUUUUCUACCUCAAGUGCAAGAUAUAAUCUGUUUUCAGAAGGUCACUUCCUGGUCCACUUCAAGUUGCAAACUCUCUCGACAAGGGCAUCUGCAGGGCUGAAUGUUAGUAUCUGCCAGAUGGGAGAUUUGGGGCUGCAAUG